rnacentral:snoRNA from 1 species
GGAAAUGAUGAAACCAGCUUCCUUGUCCUCAGAGGCAAGAUGCUGAACAAAU